AGACUUAGAAUUAAAAUAUCACGUAAUUAUAAUAUUAUUAGUAAGCAUAAUAUAUGAUUAUCUAAAGGGAGAGAUAAGUCUGAAUCAGGUAAUCUCCAUUUUAGAGGACGUAGAGAAAAUCAUCACUACUAACGCCACGCCUACUCCUAACUAAUAUACCUUACCUUAAGUCCUGACUGGUCCCUAGACCCUCUACACUCAUUGUCAGUUCCUAGCUCUCGGCGUCCCUUGGGUAUAACCGGUGUAUGCAGAUUGCCCCACAAAAAUAGAAAGCAUUAUUUUUUCCCUAACUGAGGCAUAGAAAGAAAAACGUCACUCAGACGUGACAGUAUUAAUAGAGAUGGAGGAGGAGAAGAAUAAAAGAAAUUAUUAAAGAAGGGAUGAGUAUUAAGAAGGAAAUGAGAUAUUGGGCUAGACGAGGACCUGACAAUGAAGGAGCGAAGAAUAACGUGGAAGAUGGUAGUGGGCGCGUCGUGAUCACGCCAAAAUACUUAGCGAUAUACACAGAGAGACCAAAAUACGAAAUAUGAUUCGCUCUAUUACAACAGUAUAUAUUAUUUUAUUAUAAUUAAAGAACUAGUGUUAUAUAAUUUGAGUUACGCGGGAUUACGCUUUCUAAAUGUAUUUGCAUAUUCCGCGGUUCCAAGCCGAACAUACUCUAUUAUUUUUUGCUGCCGACGGGCGACGGACGACCGCAUAGGCAACGGGCGAGGAGAACGAAAGCGUAACUUUGAUUAAAUAAGGAAGCAAAGUUUAAAUAUGAAGAACAAACAAGUUGCUGUACAUAUUGAGAAUGUCACACAUGCAAAGUCCUUGUGGUUCAGUCUUAGCGAUUUUAUUCAAGUUUUUCUUCAUAUCGAAUAAUUGAGUUCAGACAGCGAAAAGUUCAGAUCUAAACUCUGAGACGAACUUCCGCAUAUCAAUUGAUUGUGCCUCAUUUAUAAAAGGAAGAGUUACACAGAAGUAAUUCUGUAACAGGUAGACUCCACAACGCUGACUCUAUAACGCAGCUCCAUAAAGCAGAGUCCAUAAUACACCAAAAACAAGUUUCAUUCGACAGAUAACUCAUCAAUGGAAAUUAAUCCUGUUCGCGACUCAUUACCUCUUGAUAUUCGCAAUAUACAAGUUCCUUGUUCAACAAAUUCUUUGAAAAGAACAAUCAAGAAACACUUUUGUCCAUACUGUAAAAAAUUACAAACAAAAUUUGCUCGACAUCUGGAAAUAAAGCAUAAGACGGAAAGUGAUGUCCAAAAGUUUAUACAUAUUAAAAAAGGAACUCGUGAAAGAGCAAAACUUAUUUCAACUAUCCGUAAUCACGGCAACUUAUUACAUAAUACGCAUAAUGAAUUGAAUACAGGCAUAUUAAUAACAGUGAGACAGCGUCAAACUAAAUAUAAAAAAUCUGUUGACAAUUAUAUUUGUUGUACGAAUUGUAAAGGUUUUUAUUCAAAAGAUACUAUACGUAUCCACUACAAUAAAUGUAAAGCAACACAUAAGAAAGGUGUGCGUGAAAUCACUGUUAUGGGUAGACGAUUAACAGGAUAUAAUCAUACUUCUGCUUGUGAAACUCUUCGUGAAAUUGUAUUCCCCGUUCUAAGAAAUGACGCAGUUACAAAAUGCAUCCAGUAUGAUGAAUUAAUAAUAUUAUUUGGUAAUAAACUCUGUGAAAGAUAUACGAGUACUCACCAACACGAUAUGAUAAGAGCACAUUUAAGAUUGCUAGGACGUUAUAAACUUGCCAUUCAAGAGAUUGAUAAAGAAAUUGAUGAUUUUCAAUUGAUUUUUUAGCCACAAAAUUUUAAUUCAGCUGUAAGCGCUCUUAGAAAAGUUGCUAAGUGGAAUACAUCUAUAAUGUGGUUUAAAACACCUGCAGUUGCUAAUACAUUGACCACUUUAUUAAAAAAGUGUGCAAAUACAUUAAAGGCUGAAUGUAUAAAAAAAACAAGAUUAUAAGAGAAAACAGGCUGUUGAUGAUUUCCUAAUUUUGUGGCAAGAUAAAGUUCCAACUGUAAUAAAUAAAAAAGCUGUGGAAGAUCAAAUAAAAUAUAAGCGACAAA